AUGAACGGCCAUUGAUACUGUUAGGCUUGAAUUAUUAGGAAGUAACUAGAAUAUGUAGUGUAGCGGUGAAAUGCUUAGAGAUUACAUGGAAUACCAAUUGCGAAGGCAGGUUACUACUAAUUGAUUGACGCUGAUGGACGAAAGCGUGGGUAGCGAACAGGAUUAGAUACCCUGGUAGUCCACGCCGUAAACGAUGGAUACUAGCUGUUGGGAGCAAUCUCAGUGGCUAAGCGAAAGUGAUAAGUAUCCCACCUGGGGAGUACGUUCGCAAGAAUGAAACUCAAAGGAAUUGACGGGGGCCCGCACAAGCGGUGGAGCAUGUGGUUUAAUUCGAUGAUACGCGAGGAACCUUACCAGGCUUAAAUGUAGAUUGACCGAUUUGGAAACAGAUCUUUCGCAAGACAAUUUACAAGGUGCUGCAUGGUUGUCGUCAGCUCGUGCCGUGAGGUGUCAGGUUAAGUCCUAUAACGAG
rnacentral:rRNA from 1 species